rfam:Clostridium butyricum E4 str. BoNT E BL5262 CLP.Contig68, whole genome shotgun sequence.
ACCUGAGGUAGAGGUGCUGUGAUAAAUAGUAAAUAUAAUGAGUCUGGUAGACUAUGACUUAUAUUGAAAGGUAUUACGGCCGAAGGAAUAAGUUAAACCAAAGCUUAUUUCUGGGUAUUCAUAAAAUAUGUGGAUAACUGUCACGAAAGUGUUGAGCUACAAGGCAU